AUUGAACGCUAGCGGGAUGCUUUACACAUGCAAGUCGAACGAGUGGCGGACGGGUGAGUAAUAUAUCUGAACGUGCCCAGUAGCGGGGGAUAACUACUCGAAGGAGUGACUAAUAACGCCUACUAGUGGAGCGGCCGGUAUCGGAUUAGCUAGUUGGUGGGGUAAAGGCUGACCAAGGAAACGAUCCGUAGCUGGUGUGAGAGGACGACCAGUCACACUGGGACGGAGACACGGCCCAGACGACUACGGGAGGCAGCAGUGGGGAAUUUUGUACAAUGGGGGAAACCCUGCUCUAGCCAUCCCGCGUGUAUGAGAAGGCCUUCCGGUUGUAAAGUACUUUUGGCAGAGAAGCGGUAUCUGCAGAAUAAGCACCGGCUAACUACGUGCCAGCAGCCGCGGUAAUUC
rnacentral:rRNA from 1 species